rnacentral:sRNA from 1 species
GUUUAGCCCAGAUAGAAGUGGAAAGCUCCCGAUUUUUCAUCGGGACUUGCAACGAAUAGCUGGAUUAGCU